rnacentral:RNase_P_RNA from 1 species
GCUUGCCGCUGCCCGCGGGGGGAGAGGAAAGUCCGGGCAACACAGGGCAUCCCGCUUCCUAACAGGAAGAGGUCCGCGAGGGUCAGUCAGUGCAGAAGAAAACAACCGCCUUGCUCCGGCAGAGCAAUCUGCAGGGGCAGGUAAGGGUGAGAAGGUGAGGUAAGAGCUCACCAGGCCGGCAGCGAUGUCGGUGCUGUGCACUCCGGGAGUUGAAAGUUCAUGUAAACCGGCAAUCUUCCUACGGAAGGAGAGGGCGGCCCGUCCGAGCCGGAGGGUAGAACGAUAGAGGGCAGUGGCGACGCUGUCCGUAGAUAAAUGGCAAGUGCUCCCCCCCAUAGGGGGGAUGACAGAACCCGGCUUACAGGUUCACUG